UUACUACCUUCAGACAACACUCUCUUGAAACAUGUUCAUUUGUAAGAAUCUCUUUAAUAACAUAGAGACCACAUUUUCCAAUGGGUUCCAUCUUGUCCAUGCAGGUUUCGACAUACAUUUUGUAUUUUGGUGGGAUGAUCUCUAGCAUAUAAAUAUUGUAAUCUUGCGAAGCCGGUGAUAUCACAUCCAAUGUAUCAAACUCGCGACCUGGAUUGACCAGUGGUUCAACGGCAACAUCUUCUUGACCAGAACUUGGGUACGCAUAUGAUACUAAAGUGGUCAUUAUGAAAAAUGCCAUGAAAAUUGUCUUAAUCUCCAUUCUUUAUAAUUACUUUGUAACUUCUUCUUUGAAUUGUUCUGUUUUUCCAACUACCAUGAUUUAUAAGUGUAUAUAUAUAGUAGUCAGGUGGUUUUGAAUGUCAUUGAUGAUGUUUUGUAUUAAUUAAUAAAAUAACAUUUUUAGUUGUUUUGCAAAACCAUAAUUUCUUUAUUAAUUUAGUUAGCUCUAAGAGUAACAUAUUUAAAUUGAUUUCUAUGUUUCAAGCAUUGAUUGUUAAUUAAAUACUCACUACUUUUGUCAUUAAAGUUUUUGCAUACAAAUUAAGAAAAUUGGUCAUUUUGGUUUUAUCCUUAUUAAAUACUCCUAUAAUAUUUUGUUUGAAUUUAUUAACUAAUGAACUAAAAAUAAGAGCAAAAUGAAAAUUAUGUUUAAAUAUGUAUGAAAAUCGUAUAAAGACAUAUAAAAAAACAAAAUUACAUUAAAUAUGAAACAUAGGAAGUAAUUUUCACUUAAGUAAAAAACUGAACCUAAUUGAAAUUUGGAUCUAUGUUUCUUCAAAUAAUUACAUGGUCUAAAUAUAGUGAUGACUUUGCUAAACCAAAGAAGAUUUAUAGAUGAAGUAUAUAUGCUUUUUGCAAGGAAUUGUAAAGAGCUAUAUCUAGUCUUGUCACAUAUACCUUUAUGAUUAAGUAUAAAAGCUUUUGAAUUGUUCAAACAUGAUGCUCUUUUCAUAUAGAAUAUUAGGCUAUUAAGCAUAAGCGUAUUGUCCCUUUGAUCAAGUAAUUGUCCCUCUGAUCAGUCUUCUCAUGAGAAUCUAUAUUUUGAUCCCGUGAACACAAAGAUGAUUUCAUUCUAUAUGUGGAUUAUUACAAAAUAAGAGAUGAUAUAUACCUUUAAAAAUCAAAGAAUUUAUAUAUUUUGUGGAAAUCAUUGUAAAAGUGAUAUUGAUAAUUAAUUCACAAAUCUCUAUAAAGAAUUUUCAUAUUAGGUCAUAGCUAGGAUCUUAAAAAUGAGAUUUAACAUUUUUGUUUCACGUAAAAUGAAAGUUACAUAUUGUAUUUUUUCCUUAUAGCGUUCUCUCACUAUUUAUUUAUUUUUAUAAAUUUACUUGAUUUUCAAACAACAUAAUUUGUUCGAUUUACAAAGAAAGAAAUAUACGAUUUUGUUUAACAAGAUUCAUGUGCAAUUAAAUUUUAUGUUAAAUAGACUAAAAACUAUGUUUGACAAACACUAGUUAGAACAACCCAAGAUAUCGCAUUAGAUUUUUUUAUAUACAAUAUUAGAGUUCGGAAAAUGAAUAAAUAAUAAAAGGUUAUUUUAUUUAUAUAGUUAGAAUAUUAUAACAAACCAUUAUUUCAUAAUACAUCAUAUAAUAAAACAAAAUAUUAAAUCAAGAUAACUAAAUCGUCAAAUCAUCAGAUGAUGAAGGACUUUCAACUUCUGCAGAACAUCUGUUCCAAACCUCAUUAAUUUUGAAAAAAACUUGAGAAGCAAAGCGUUUGAGUUGAUAAAAUUGAAACAUCAACUUAUUAGUCUCGAUGAAGCAUUGUUUUCCAGCUCUUACUACCUUCAGACAACACUCUCUUGAAACAUGUUCAUUUGUAAGAAUCUCUUUAAUAACGUAGAGACCACAUUUUCCAAUGGGUUCCAUCUUGUCCAUGCAGGUUUCGACAUACAUUUUGUAUUUUGGUGGGAUGAUCUCUAGCAUAUAAAUAUUGUAAUCUUGUGAAGCUGGUGAUAUCACAUCCAAUGUAUCAAACUCAUGACCUGGAUUGACCAGUGGUUCAACGUCAACAUCUUCUUGACCAGAACUUGGAUACGCAGAUGAUACUAAAGUGGUCAUUAUGAAAAAUGCCAUGAAAAUUGUCUUAGUCUCCAUUCUUUAUAAUUACUCUUUAACUUCU
rnacentral:lncRNA from 1 species